CAGGGAUGUUAAAUCACACAGCCCAUGAGUAGUUCGUAACAUGAAAAGUACAAUGCAGCCACAUGCAAUUUGUCUCUUUGCAGCUGGAACGUCACUUGGAGGUCGUAUUAUUUAUUUAAAAACAGCCCAAACUAACCACGAGCAUUUAAGUACGUCCUUAACACGCAUAAAGAAUAUAUAGCGAACACUGAUCCUGCGCGUGUUGGUUGUCAAAGGUGGCCUAUGUCUGAAGUUACACUCAUUUUUCCCAUCUUGUGUUUUGAGUGUCUUGCCCUGCAGUAAGGCAUCGCAAAGACAAGAUUUUACUGUCAUCCACAUAUGCAGCCGGGUAGAAAUUCCUGAGAGGAAAUGAAAACAUGAGGAGAUAUCCACUGUAUUCCGUGCAGCAUACAACCCCCCGCGGUGUGAAGAUGGAGAUCAGGGUUCAGAUCCCGUUAAGGAGAGAAAUCAGCUGGGUUCCGCUCAAUCUCCAUGCUCUGGCCACACACCUACACUGUGGGGGACUGGGGGGGGGGGGGUGCGGCUGACCUCACAGCUCUCCUAUACGGCCGAGGCCCGAGUGUUGACGUGUCUCCAUGGAUACCUCCCCCCCUUAACUCCAUUGGCUGGGCACCACAACGAGAUGACACAGUGGCUGACAAAGUCCCAAUUUCUCCCUUUGGGAAUGGUUGACAUUUAUGACGAAAAACAGAACGGGGGAGAAAAAAACAAGAGCAAGAAUAAGUCCCAUAUUUGUCUGACUUUAUUUUAUGAAGAUUGUAAUAAAGUCUUUCCAGCUAGAACAGAAAUUCACUCUUUUUUAAAUACAUCCCUUUUGGUAAAAGGGAUAAAUCGCUUUUUGAAGUUUUCGAUUGUAUUUCUUUUUUAGUUGAUGUUUUUGAUUGGCCCUGACAGUUUUUGUGUGUGAUGAUGAAUAUUUAGGGUUCCAAGCAAACCCUAACCCGUUAUUUCUUUUUUUCAUUCUUUCUUAUAAAAGUAUCUGUAUCUGUAAAAGUAUUCUGACAUUCCUGCAGUAACCAUAUUCAGCAGGUGGGCUGCUAUGGCCCCCAAUACUCAGGGAAAAUAUCACAGAUUUAUUGGCCAGAUGGUUGCGCUAUGACACAUAUAUUUAUGUUCUGGUCCUUAACUUUCAUGCCGUAAGUCAAACUGAUGCCAAACUUCAUGCAUACAUUUGUGCGUUCCAGAUUUACAACUUUGCUAUUGGGACUACCCAUAUCUGCCAUCUUGAUUUACCACCAUUUUGUAUAGUAUAAUGUGUGGUAUAAUUGUAAAAUAGUGUAAUGAUAUAUUUAAAACUGGACAUACAUUAGACCAAAAUGUCCUGCAGUGAUUAGUAAGAUGAAUUGAAAUUGACAAUUGAAACUUUCAAUAUACUUCGAUCAAUCUUUAUCACACUAAAUUAUGAUGUUUGGACUCUCAAAGGCCCCAAUAAAGGCCCCAGUAAAGCUAUAAUGUUCUGU